GCAUUUGUAGUCCAACGGUUAGGAUAAUUGCCUUCCAAGCAAUAGACCCAGGUUCGACUCUCGACAGAAACA
rnacentral:tRNA from 1 species